GUGAAGUUUGAAAACUGUAAUAUGUCGUCGACGAACUUGGGUAUGUUCCCCAGCUGCAGUACAAAACUUUGCUAUGAGUCUUACAACUAUAUAAAACAGAUCAGAUCCAAUUAUGGAAUAUGACGUGCCCUGUAUCCACUGACAGCAUGCGAUUUUUGCCGUCUACACUUCCACUAACUUGACAUUUCUUUGAACUUCUUCAGCUUUAUGUGACAACUUUUUCUGUAAUUGAAGCAUAUAACCACACCAUCAUUUUUCUUACGCAUUUCAACUUUUUCAAAUAAUUGGUUCACCUUGAUCUUUACUUCUGUUUCUACUUGAUGAGUUUAAAUGUUUAAUUGCUAGGCAGAUAUUCGAUUUUCUGUGUCAGAGCAUAGGAAACGGUUUAUACUAUUUGAGUAUAUAAUUUCUUAUAUAUUUGUUGAUAUGUGAUAUAAGUAUCAACAUCUAAAUAUGUAAGUAUGUAUGCAAAUAUUUUAUUAAUUGCAUGUGCAUACGUUUGCUCAAAAAUAACGCGAAAAUAAAUAUGCGAUAAGUAAUAGAUGUAUGUACAUACUAUAUAUUAUAAGAAUGUAUAUAUGUAUAAAUGAGCAUACGAAUGUAUGUUAAUUUUAAUUUUCCUGUGUUUGUAUAUGGGUAUACAUAUAUACGUUGAAUUUUUUUUGUUCCGUUUUGACGCGUUUUUGUAAAGUUCGCUGACCGUUGUAAUUAAUAUAUGUUAUAUAUGUACUAUUGCGUGUAUAAAGGUCGCCAUACAAAAAUUACAGUUCUUAAUCGCGUCUCCGUGGUGAUAUGAAAAAUAUUUAAAGGAAGACGGCUUUUAUAACAAAUUACUAUACAAGUAUAAUAAAGUUUUCUUUCAAUAAAUAUUAAGUCAUGUGAAUUCUUGAAUGACAAAAACAUCUGUUUUAUCAUCUGUCCAACGGCAGUAAGAAUGGGCUAGAUUAGUGAAGAGAUUAAAUGUAGUCUAAUCACUUCAAAUUUUUGGUGGGAACAUAGUAUAAAAGAGCGAAAUGGUUGGAUCUCUAUAUACAUAUACAUAUGUACAUACAUAAAUAUCCACUGUUUUACUUUUGCCUUUACUUAUAUGUUAUAGUGAUCCUGCUUGUUGCUCUGUUAACCCAAGGGUUAUCGCCGAAACUUGCAAGUAAGAAUACUUGACUUUGAAAUUUUUUUUUGGCUUUUUUUGUUUGGAGACACGAAUUAAGCUUGAAGAUAGGGAUAGUUUUUUUUUAAAUUUUUUGAUGCAGUUGACUUAUGUAUGUACCGUAUGUCUAUGUAUGUGUGUUCAUAGCGGAAUAUUUUAUGCGCAAAGUUUAAUGGCCCAUAAAUGUUUUUGUGUGUAAGUACAAGGAGCAUUCCAAAGUAAACAGGACUUUAUUAAAAAAAAAGAAGAAAUGGUUUUUUCGGCAAAAUAAAUUUAUUUUUUGCACGAUCCAAAAGAAUGUCGAACGAGUGUUUUAGCUCAUCUGCAUAACGCUUUCGUUUCAUGGGCAAAUGCAUUUUUCCGAAAAGGAAGAGUUCGCACGGUGCCAUAUAAGGUGAAUACGGGGAGUGGUUAAUAGUUAAAAUGUUAUUUUUGGUCAAAUGAUCGAUCACAAGCGUCGGUCGAUGAAACGAUUCUGAGUAAUUUUGGACGUCAGUCCAUUUGUGUGGAACAAACCGUCCGAUUUCGGCUGAUUUUUGAUGAAUUCACGCACAGUUUCAAUGGAAUUUCCGGUGAUCACGGAUUUUGAUUGGCCCACAUGUUGACCGUCAUUUAUGUCCUCACGACCACUUUGAAAACGUUGAAACCACUCGUGAACUCUGCUUCGGGAUAGGCAAUCAUCGGCAUAAACUUGUUUCAUCAAUUGAAACGUUUCGGUAAAAGUUUUACCAAUCUUAAAACAAAAUUUAAGCUCAUUUUCGCAGCGGCUCAUUUUCGCACCGAUAACACAAAUAUACUCACACUUAAAACGCAAUAACUUCACUUCCAAUCAAUGAAAUGUCAUGAUAUUCUCACAAUACGGUCGAUAAAGAUAGCAGAUUCUAACGCACUAGUCGACAUGUAGAUGGCGCCACCAGGGGGCGCUAGAUUCAAAAAGUCUUGUUUACUUUGGAACGCACUUGUAUAUGUAUAUAUGUACUUUUGCAUGUAUUUUUAUACGAUUGAGUACAAGUCGAAGGGGUAUCACAUAUGUACUAUGUAUGUACGUAUUUUUCAAACGAUCAAGUACAAUCCCAAGGGGUAUCAACGAACCUUCAAGUAAGAAUACUUGACUUUGAACAAUUUUUUUUUUUGAUUUUGGAUAAUUGUUAUAGUGUGCUUGGAAACACAAAGUAAGCUGUAGGAAGGUACGGUAAUUUUCUCAUUUAUUUCAUACAUACAGUAGCGGACAGUGAAAUCCGGACAACCCGUCGGUUUGUAUUUAAAGCACGAUUGUAACCGACAAGUGUAAUUUUUUGCGGAAAGGUUUAUUCAUUCACUUAAAUUAGUGCUCUGAACACGUUUUAUAACAACUUUUUGUUUUAUUUUUCAAUAGUUUCAAAGUUUAUUUCGUGCUCGUGCUUGCUUAAAGCUCAAAUAUUCCAAAUUUAAAAAAAAUGUCUGAAUUGCCGUAAUAUUUUAUUUAAUAUUUUGAUUUUCCGAAAAGAAAAUCUGACCAUUCGGGAAAUUAGUGAUAGAGUUGGCUUCAGCAUUUGUUUGGCUUUUUUUUAGGAUGUUUGGAGACACGAAUUAAGCUUGAACAUAGGGAUAGGGUAUUUCUUAAAAUUUUUUGUUACAGUUGACUUAUGUACAUAUGUACCGUAUGUCUAUGUAUAUGUAUAUGUUCAUUGCGGAAUAUUUUAUGCGCAAAGUUUAAUGGCCAUAAAUUUUUUCUAUGUAUGUACAAGGAGCAUUCUAAAGUAAACAGGACUUUAUUAAAAAACAGAAGAAAUGGUUUUUUCGGUCUUCCAUCGGAGAAUUUCUAAAAAAUGUCGAUAAAACCAGAUAUCUUAAGAGAAAAACUGGCUCUGAGCGGUUCAAGGACGAAGGUGUUCCUGUUAAGCAGCAAGGUAGCCGAAUGGUCUAGGAUUGCUUUUCCUACUUUGGCCUUAGGCAACUAGCCCUAAUUGAAGGAACCGUCAAUAGGAAUUAGUAUCAGCAGAUACUUGAAACCAAUUUAAUAACUUCAAUAAAAAACUGCUUUUCACGAGCGGAUGUCCUUAUUUUUCAGGAUGACUCUGCGCCCUGCCAUCGUGCCAAAAUAGUGAAGAAUUAUUUAUCAAAAAUCGGGGUCUCAACUUUGGAGUAGCGAGGUAACAGUCCGGAUCUCAAUCCCAUUGAGAACCUUUGACUUAUAAUGAAGGCUCAGGUAGCACAGAAGAGACCAACAAAUUUAGCAGAGCUGAAUGGAAUUCUCGAAGAAGCGUGGUAUAACGGUAUUGGAGCAGUAACAAUAAAAAAACCUCAUAAAUUCAAUGCCCGAGCGUAUAAAAGCCGUUAUAAAAAGCAAAGGAGAUUUGACAAAAUACUAAAAAGAGUUCUUUUGUGUAGAUUAAUUUCCUUUAACUAAAGCUAUAAAAUCAUUUCUCUAAUGCAAAUAAAAAAAAUUAUCACUGUUUAUAUUGCUAUUUACAAUAUCUAAAUUUAAUAAAAAAAAAAAAAUUAUAAGUGCAAUCCACUACACUGCCUUUUUUACGCUUAAUACUAACGUAUUAAAUAUAUAUUAUUGUUUCAAAUGAAAAAAUUUAAACAUUCCACUAAAAUAAUAAGGAAAAACUAUGAUUUUUUAGUUGUUCGGAUUUCACUGUCCGCUGCUGUAUACUAUAUACCGAACUGUCUGAGUGGGUUUUCUGUGAAGAACAGUUGGGUUUCUUACAAUUAGAUGUAUGCUGAAUUACAGCUCCAACUGUAUGGGCGAGUUCCAAAUUCCACGUUGCUUUGUAUUGUUGCGGUAUAUAUACACAAGUUAUGCAAUGUCAGUAAUACAACCCUGCUGCUUUGUUUCAGUUUGCUUUGUGUCGUUUUGACAUUUAUGAUAAACUUAAUUGCAAAGCAACCGACAACACAAUGGUGCGAAAUGUGAAUAUUCAACUCCUUAUGGGAAAUUUAUUGGAGUUAACUGAAAUCAGUCAAAACAAUUUAGUAAUCGUAAGAAAUUAUUUGAAAAAGAAAAAGAAAAUUGAAUACGCAACGUUGCUUUAUUCAAAGAAAAGAAAAAUUGUUGGAAAAGUGCCUAAAUGCAAAAGCAAAUGCUGAUGUGUUUUAUUCUCAUUUCCGUAUGGAAACUGCAACAUUUGAGGUAAAGUAAAUUAUUCAAAAUAUGAUAAAUAUUUUGCAUACUUAAUCAUUUUUUAUAGAAAUUGUGCGAUAUAUUGAAGACUGCAUGGAGUACUCGUGAGCGACGUGGUCCAACUGGCAUAUCUUUAAAAAAAGCGCUAUAUUUAACAAUAUGGAAACUUGCUAAUCAAUGUAGUUUCCGCGAUGUCGGUGACAGAUUCAACUUCGGCCGUGGAACCACCUAUAGAGUUUUCAUUAAAACAACAAGGCUCUUGGCUAAUCUCAAAAGACAGAUCAUCAAGUUCCCGUCUACGGAAAUUUCACAAAGGAAAACAAUGAAGCUACUCGAGGCAUGCAGAGCGCAUCCCUUUCCUUUUGUUUUGGGUUGUGUCGACGGGACCCAUAUUCGUAUUCCACAAACUUCAACAGGCGGUAAAAGUUAUUAUAACAGAAAGGGCACAAGCUCAAUUGUUCUACAGGCUGUUGCUGAUAGAGAACUAUUCACCGACGCUUUUGUGGGAUACCCCGGCCGAUGCCACGAUGCUUUAGUAUGGCAGAACAGUCCACUUAAAAGGGCAAUUGUCAAAAAACAUUAUUCCCUUUCCACCGGAAGGUCACCUUUUGGGUGAUGGGGCUUACCCUUUGGAAACAUAUUUGAUGGUUCCAUAUAAGGACAAUGGAUUUUUAACACCUGCACAAAUUAUAUUCAACAAUGUUUUAGCUUCCACAAGAGUGUGUGUGGAACAAGCUUUCGGUAUUUUGAAAACCAAGUUCCGUAUUUUAAACUAUGUUGAUGUACAAAACUCCAAAGUGGCUAAACAAAUAAUAAUGUCAUGUUUGGUACUCCAUAACUUUAUAAUUAACAAUGAAAAGCCUUCUGAAAUAGUGUACAAUGAAAGCGAACAUUUUCAUAUGUCCCUUAAUGCACAACAAUAUUUGGUUGCAGCAAGUGAUUAAAGAAAUUGGUUAACUACAUUAUUUUCUGCUUGAAGAACGCAAUAAAAACAUUUUUAUUGUAGAAAACUUGUCGAUUAUUUGGUAUUAAAAAAUAACACAUUGUAC